UAUUAGAGGCACUGCCUGCCCAGUGACUCCAGUUAAACGGCCGCGGUAUCCUGACCGUGCAAAGGUAGCAUAAUCAUUUGUUCUCUAAAUAGGGACUUGUAUGAAUGGCCCCACGAGGGUUUAACUGUCUCUUACUUUUAAUCAGUGAAAUUGACACUCCCGUGAAGAGGCGGGAAUUAAAAAAUAAGACGAWAAGACCCUAUGGAGCUUUAAUUAAUUAACUCACAAAUUAUAAUACUAAUCUACAAGAGACAAGCUAAACUUGAUUGAGUUAACAAUUUGUUGGGGCGACCUUGGAAUAAAGAUCAACCUCCGAGAUAGAUCUACUAAGACCUACAAGUCAAGGUUAUAUACUAUACAUUGAUCCGCCAAUAGCGAUCAACGAAACAAGUUACCCUAGGGAUAACAGCGCAAUCCUAUUUAAGAGUCCAUAUCGACAAUUAGGGUUUACGACCUCGAUGUUGGAUCAGGACAUCCCAAUGGUGCAGCAGCUAUUAAUGUGUUCGUUUGUUCAACGAUUAAAGUCCUACGUGAUCUGAGU
rnacentral:rRNA from 1 species